UGCUAGUCGCGUGCCUCAGCCAAAAAGAGGCACGGCGCACAGCUCAGUAGCACGUGGCUAAUCUGCCCUUAGGACGAGAAUACCCCCGGGAAACUGGGGCUAAUUCGCGAUAGGCGAAGAACACUGGAAUGUGUCUUCACCUAAAAGACCCUACGUUAUGCUCGUAGAAGUCGCCUAAGGAUGAGGCCGCGACCGAUCAGGUUGUUGGUGAGGUAAUGGCUCACCAAGCCUUUUACCGGUGCGGGCCGUGAGAGCGGGAGCCCGGAGAUGGGUACUGAGACAAGGACCCAGGCCCUACGGGGCGCAGCAGUCGCGAAACCUUUGCAAUACACGAAAGUGUGACAGGGCUGUCCCGAGUGCCAUCCGCUGAGGAAGGCUUUUACCCAGUCUAGAAAGCUGGGGGAAUAAGGAGAGGGCAAGUCUGGUGUCAGCCGCCGCGGUAAUACCAGCUCUUCGAGUGGUGUGGAUGUUUAUUGGGCCUAAAGCAUCCGUAGCUGGCUAAGUGAGUCCCUUGUUAAAUCCACCGAAUUAAUCGUUGGAUCGCGGGGGAUACUGCUUGGCUAGGGGACGAGAGAGGCAGACGGUAUUUUCGGGGUAGGGGUGAAAUCCUAUAAUCCCGGGAAGACCACCAGUGGCGAAGGCUGUCUGCUAGAACGCGCCCGACGGUGAGGGAUGAAAGCUGGGGGAGCGAACCGGAUUAGAUACCCGGGUAGUCCCAGCUGUAAACGAUGCAGACUAGGUGCUUGGACGGCCACGUGCCGUUCUAGUGCCGCAGGAAAGCUGUUAAGUCUGCCGCCUGGGGAGUACGAUCGCAAGAUUGAAACUUAA
rnacentral:rRNA from 1 species